rnacentral:rRNA from 1 species
UACGUAGGGUGCGAGCGUUGUUCGGAAUUACUGGGCGUAAAGGGCUCGUAGGCGGCCAACUAAGUCAUGCGUGAAAUCCCUCGGCUUAACCGGGGAACUGCGUCUGAUACUGGAUGGCUGGAGUAUGGGAGAGGGAUGCGGAAUUCCUGGUGUAGCGGUGAAAUGCGUAGAUAUCUGGAGGAACACCGGUGGCGAAGGCGGCAUCCUGGACCAUUACUGACACUGAGGAGCGAAAGCCAGGGGAGCAAACGGG